CACGGAAUCCCGUGAAGCGGGGUUGUGAAAAAGGAUUUCUCCAGUUGCACCCAUUGUAGCUGCGGGCACGGGUUGGCCCAUUCAUAUAUCCUAGUGAGCAUGGUCGCUUUGUGGUAGAGCCCUAUGUGUGGCAUCCCCAGGCCGCCUUGGCCUUUGGGUUUUGUGAGUGUAGCGAAAGCUAUCCUGGGAUGUUUGUUUGCCCAUAUAAAUUUGGUGAAGAGGUGCUUGAUUUUAAGGAAAAAUGAUUUGGGGAUGUGGACUGGAAGUGUUUGCAAAAGGUACAACAGUCUUGGGAGCGUAUUCAUUUUGAGAAUGUUGAUGCAGC